GGCCGCCUGGCGUAAUGGCAACGCGUCUGACUACGAUGACAUCGUGCGUUCACGGUGUGGUUAAUCAGGAGAUUGCAGGUUCGACCCCUGCGGUGGUCA